rnacentral:lncRNA from 1 species
AUAUCUCUUCUCCCUCUCUCUUUGGCUACUCUUUAAAAUGAAGAGAAAACCCUAACCUUUUCCUUUUUAUACCCGUUCCCUCAACCGUUAGAUCUUCAUGACUCGAUCUGAGCCGUUUGUUUUAUUUUAAAUCUCCUCCAUCCGAUCUCCUCAAACGGUCCAAUCAGGGCCGUCUAUUCUCCUAAUUUCUUUUGCCCCCUUUCGCUUCUCCUUAUUUAUGUCUUUGCCUCCUUUUUUUUCUCGUAUACUUUCAUUUAGGUCCCUGAUAUUAACAAAAAACCCCCUAAAUUUAAAAAAUCCUUUAAUUUACGUCAUAAGUCUAAUUUUAUUUUUUAUUUAUCUUUGUUCUCUUUUUUUUUUUUCUUUGGAUGG